CAGCAUUCAAUAUGACCUCAGGAGGAUGCAUCAUAGAAUUCUAGAACCACCAUCCCAGAGCAUGUGAAUGUUAUCUUAAUGUGGGUACCGACCAGGCAUCAUGGAAGACAAAAACCAUAAACCAGCACAGUGGGUUCAGAUGGAUUCAUUCAACAUCCAUUGAAUAUUUACUCCAAAGAAGGCUUGAACUUCAAGAUCUAACAGCAUGCCUCCUCUGCAGCUCCUACCUCCAUAUAGUUAGAUGAAAUGACCAGCAAGUCUCCAAAAGUAUGAA
rnacentral:lncRNA from 1 species